CAGCCAAGGUGCGCUGAGGAAGAGGAAGCAGAGGCUCUACCUCACUCUGACCUUCCUAUUCGCUGUGAAAAAGAGCAGGAGUCCCCCGUGUCUGCGGGUCCUUUGCAGGGAGGGCAGCGCUGGCAGCCGUUACGCGCUCUCUGGCACACUUUCCCUCUGACUCCUUCGCCACUCUUCCCUGUCCUCCAGCUCGGUUCCUUUUCACGGUUCUCCCAACAGUCCUGGGGCCAUUCGCGGGGAUCUUACGGUACCCCCAAAACCAACCGCAAGCUAGGGGGCGGCCCCCAAGGUCCCACACCGUCCCAGGGGGCUCGGGGACUUGGGGCACCCGCGGGUUCUCGCAUCCCUGGAGGAGGCCAAGGUGACGAGAGGUGCGGACCGAGGUCCCGGGGGAGGGGACGGGCCGGGCCGGUGGCAGCGGGCGCACAAAGCUGGCGACGGGGGAGCGGGGAGCGGCUGCCCGUCCCGGCUGCACGCCGGGCGCGGACGGACAAGGGGGGCUCGGGGGACCGCAGAGGGGACCAGGCGCGCGGCGGGAAGGGGAGCCCCGGAGCGCGCGGAAGCCGACGGCCGAGGCCGGCCAGCCUGGGGCGACCGCCGCGAGACACUCACCAGACCCGGGGGGGGAGGCGGCGGCGGCGGCGGCGGCGGCGCAGACGCGACGUGCAGGCGGGCGGCCCGCCCGAUAGCGACCGCGGCGCGCCGGGGACUCCGAGGGAGCGCGGCCGCCGAGCCGCGACCGGAGGGGACGACAGGAAGCACCCCGACUGCCGGAAAAGACGGCAGCGCGGAGGGCCAAGGCUCCCCGGUACCCUCGGUCUGUGGCGAGCGGGGAGUUGGGGGGGGGGAAGCCGCCGCGGCCCGAACUGCGCAUGCGCCACCCGCCGGCGGGCGGCGCUGCCCGGCGGCAGGACUGCGCGUGCGUGUGCGCGCGGCGGCGGCGCCCCGCCCACACCUUCACCCCUCACCCGGCUGCACCCGGGCGAGCAGGCUCGGGGAAGGCAGAUGAGUGCAGUGUGGGGCGUGUACCGAGGUGGCUGGGCUGGGCUGGGCUGGGCUGGGCUGGGCUGGGCUGGUUCGCCUUUGUUUUGUUUCUUACUUUUUCUUUUGAAAUAA
rnacentral:lncRNA from 1 species